rnacentral:rRNA from 1 species
GUCUAUGGCCAUACCACCCUGAACACACCUGAUCUCAUCUGAUUUUGGAAAGCUACCAGGGUCAGGCCUGGUUAGUACUUAGAUGGGAGAGGGAAAGAGAAAGAUAGAUAUCUGCAGACC